GGUUAAGUGAAUAAGGGCGUACGGUGAAUGCCUUGGCACUAGGAGCCGAUGAAGGACGGGACGAACACCGAUAUGCUUCGGGGAGCUGUAAGUAAGCUUUGAUCCGGAGAUUUCCGAAUGGGGGAACCUCAUUGUUUUUAUCGACAAUGGUCCACUCAGUGAACACAUAGCUGAGUGGAAGGUAGACGUGGUGAACUGAAACAUCUCAGUAGCCACAGGAAGAGAAAGAAAAAUCGAUUUCCCGAGUAGCGGCGAGCGAAACGGAAAGAGGCCAAACCAGCGUGCUUGCAUGCUGGGGUUGUAGGACUGAUGGUCGGGAGUGAAUGAGCUAGUCGAACGCCUGGAAAGGGCGAUCAGAGAGGGUGACAAUCCCGUAGGCGAAAGCUCAGCCACCUCAUUCAGUAUCCUGAGUACGGCGGUACACGUGAAAUUCCGUCGGAAUCCGCCAGGACCAUCUGGCAAGCCUAAAUACUCCCUAGUGACCGAUAGUGAACCAGUACCGUGAGGGAAAGGUGAAAAGCACCCCGGAAGGGGAGUGAAAGAGUACCUGAAACCGUAUGCCUACAAGCAGUCAGAGCCCGUUAAGGGGUGAUGGCGUACUUUUUGUAGAACGGACCGGCGAGUGACGAUAGCAAGCAAGGUUAAGCUGAAGAAGCGGAGCCACAGCGAAAGCGAGUCUGAAGAGGGCGUUGAGUUUGUUGUCGUCGACCCGAAACCAAGUGAUCUACUCAUGUCCAGGCUGAAGGUGUGGUAAAACACACUGGAGGGCCGAACCCACGUCUGUUGAAAAAGGCGGGGAUGAGGUGUGGGUAGCGGUGAAAUUCCAAUCGAACUUGGAGAUAGCUGGUUCUCUCCGAAAUAGCUUUAGGGCUAGCCUCGGAUGAUGACUAUUGGAGGUAGAGCACUGUUUGAUCGAGGGGUCCAUCCUGGAUUACCGACAUCUGAUAAACUCCGAAUGCCAAAUAGUUUAGUCCGGGAGUCAGACUGCGAGUGAUAAGAUCCGUAGUCGAAAGGGAAAGAGCCCAGACCACCAGCUAAGGUCCCAAAGUUUCAGUUAAGUGGAAAAGGAUGUGGGGUUGCUUAGACAACUAGGAUGUUGGCUUAGAAGCAGCCAUCAUUGAAAGAGUGCGUAAUAGCUCACUAGUCGAGUGACCCUGCGCCGAAAAUGUACCGGGGCUAAACUGAACACCGAAGCUGUGGAUCCGUAGGAUGGUAGGAGAGCGUUCUAUAGGCAGAGAAGCAUGAUCGUGAGGACAUGUGGAGCGUAUAGAAGUGAGAAUGCCGGUAUGAGUAGCGAAAGACGGGUGAGAAUCCCGUCCACCGAAUGACUAAGGUUUCCUGGGGAAGGCUCGUCCUCCCAGGGUUAGUCGGGACCUAAGCCGAGACCGAAAGGGAUAGGCGAUGGACAACAGGUUGAGAUUCCUGUACUUGUUUGAUUUGUUUGAGCGAUGGAAGGACACAGAAGGCUAAGCGGAGCGCGGAGAUGGAAAAACGCGUCCAAGCAAUGAGUGAGAAGGUGAGUGAAAGGCUUGCCUCAGACUUCAUGAGUUGUGACGGGGAGGGAAGUUUAGUACCGAAGCCGCCGACGUCACGCUGUCAAGAAAAGUUUCUAGUGAGAAUCAAACAACCCGUACCGCAAACCGACACAGGUAGUCGAGUGGAGAACACUAAGGUGAGCGAGCGAACUCUCGUUAAGGAACUCGGCAAAAUGACCCCGUAACUUCGGGAGAAGGGGUGCUGACCGCAAGGUCAGCCGCAGUGAAUAGGCCCAAGCGACUGUUUAUCAAAAACAUAGGUCUCUGCCAAAUCGAAAGAUGAUGUAUAGAGGCUGACGCCUGCCCGGUGCUGGAAGGUUAAGAGGAAGGGUUAGCGUAUGCGAAGCUCUGAAUUGAAGCCCCAGUAAACGGCGGCCGUAACUAUAACGGUCCUAAGGUAGCGAAAUUCCUUGUCAGGUAAGUUCUGACCCGCACGAAAGGCGUAACGAUUUGGGCACUGUCUCAACGAGAGGCUCGGUGAAAUUGUAGUACCAGUGAAGAUGCUGGUUACCCGCGACAGGACGGAAAGACCCCAUGGAGCUUUACUGUAGGUUGAUAUUGAAUGUUUGUGCCACAUGUACAGGAUAGGUAGGAGCCAUCGAAGUCGGGACGCUAGUCUCGAUGGAGGCACUGGUGGGAUACUACCCUUGUGGGAUGACCAUUCUAACCCGCGACCAUUAGCUGGUCGGGAGACAGUGUCAGUCAGGCAGUUUGACUGGGGCGGUCGCCUCCUAAAGUGUAACGGAGGCGCCCAAAGGUUCCCUCAGAAUGGUUGGAAAUCAUUCGCAGAGUGUAAAGGCAGAAGGGAGCUUGACUGCGAGACCUACAAGUCGAGCAGGGACGAAAGUCGGGCUUAGUGAUCCGGUGGUUCCGCAUGGAAGGGCCAUCGCUCAACGGAUAAAAGCUACCCUGGGGAUAACAGGCUUAUCUCCCCCAAGAGUUCACAUCGACGGGGAGGUUUGGCACCUCGAUGUCGGCUCAUCGCAUCCUGGGGCUGAAGUCGGUCCCAAGGGUUGGGCUGUUCGCCCAUUAAAGCGGUACGCGAGCUGGGUUCAGAACGUCGUGAGACAGUUCGGUCCCUAUCCGUCGCGGGCGUUGGAAAUUUGAGAGGAGCUGUCCUUAGUACGAGAGGACCGGGAUGGACACACCGCUGGUGUACCAGUUGUUCCACCAGGAGCAUGGCUGGGUAGCUAUGUGUGGACGGGAUAAGCGCUGAAAGCAUCUAAGCGUGAAGCCCCCCUCAAGAUGAGAUUUCCCAUACUUUGAAAGUAGUAAGACCCCUGAAAGACGAUCAGGUUGAUAGGUUUGGAGUGGAAGCUUAGCAAUAAGUGGAGCGGACAAAUACUAAUCGGUCGAGGACUUAUCCAA
rnacentral:rRNA from 1 species